rnacentral:rRNA from 1 species
GACAGAGGGUGCGAACGUUGUUCGGAAUUACUGGGCGUAAAGCGCAUGUAGGCGGCAGCGCAAGUCGGGCGUGAAAUUCCACGGCUCAACCGUGGAAGUGCACUCGAAACUGCGCAGCUAGAGUCCUGGAGAGGAAGGUGGAAUGCUUGGUGUAGAGGUGAAAUUCGUAGAUAUCAAGCGGAACACCGGUGGCGAAGGCGGCCUCUGGACAGUGACUGACGCUGAGAUGCGAAAGCGUGGGGAGCAA